rnacentral:tRNA from 1 species
UCGGUAGCUGAGUGGAUAAUGUGAUAGCGUUUAAAGCAAAAGGUACUGAGUUCGAGUCUCGGAAUCGACA